ensembl:lncRNA
AUAUAUUCGAGGCUCCCGUUUUAAAAAAGAGGGAAUUUAUUAUGUGCAAGUUUAAAAAAAAAUCUACAGUGUGUGUUUUGUCUUUGAUGCAGUGCAGAGGAGAGCUACGUCUGCGUUUUGCAUGUCCUCUCCUCCCAUUCAAACACCACCAUUCCCCCUCCCACCUCCAGGUUUUUACCCAUAAUGCUUUUGUCUCCUUUCUCUGGGCCUGGUUUGUUAAUACCACUGUGUAAAUACAGUGUAUGUAUAGAUAUAUGUAGAAAGGUGUAAUAUAAUGUACAUGUAUCCUACAGAGACUCCAUUCUGUGCAUUUGGGGCUAUGGGAACCACCCCACGACCUUAACAACGAGAAAUUUGGUUUUAAAAUGAAAGUUAAAAUGACCCAAAGUAAUAUUUUCUUUAAAAAAAUCAAGGGCUGGGGAGAUUUUACAUUUUCGAUUUGAGGUGGUGGCACUUUGACACAGCGUUAGCAGAGUUUCAGUGGGCCGUAGACGCAUUGAUCUGAUGGACAGUAAAGUAAGGCCAGAAGAUAAUUUUAUUAAAAAGAGGUUUUACCAUUUUAAUAUUUGAACAUAUUUUUGCAAAUUUUAGACUAUUUAAGAGUUUUAUUGGACAAUGAUGAGGAAAAAGGGUGAAAAAUUUAACUAAAUCUUUCUUACAUGAACAAGAAGUGACCAAAUUUCUCAAAUGAUAGAAUUUAUAAUUAAAAAUGCAAACAGAAUCCCUUUAUGGAAGUGCUGGAGGACAGAGGGUCUCAGCUGGGGUCUGCUGUGAUCCAAAAUGCUCUGGAUUUUUCACUUAAAUAAAAAAAAAGUUACUCUGUUGCCUUGAGUGAGAUAAUUAUACUUUUUAUGCCAGAUGCCCUUCCCUGUAUUCAAGUUAAGACUGUCACAAAUGGACCACUCACUUACUGGUUACUUCCUGUUACUGGAUUGAGACAAUAAUUUUAAUAAACCUACUACUACUACUACUACAACUAUUAUCACUAUUACUACAACUACUACUACUACUACUAUGACCUCCACUGCUACUACUUCGCUUACUAUUAGAACUAUUACUCCUCCUACUACUACUACUACAACUAUUAUUACUACUACAACAACCACCACUGCUACUCCUACUCCUACUAUUACCACUAUUACUCCUACUACAACUACUUCUACUACUACGUUCCAAGAAAAAUGUGUAAUCCAGACAAUAGAUCAGAGGAUAAUUAUAUAUGAAUCUUGCAUUAUUCAUAGUGAAAACAAUACUUUUUCAAUAUAUUUUGUACUUAAAUCAGAUGAAUUUUCCCCUCUUAAAUAUCGUCCAUUUUGGAUCGCAGUCCCUCCGGUUGAGAACCCGACUGUUUGACUGUUUUAAUGGUUUAAAGUCGAGCCCUGACAGACCGCUCCUCUUCCAUAGUGUCCUUACUCUCCACGAUGCUGUGAUCUUUCAUAUCGUCUGCACAUUUGGAACACUUUUGGCUACAAUAUAAUGGUGUAUUUUGGCUUUUUGUAACAUAUCCAUCCUUCUGUGCACUGUAAUUGUCCCCAUUCAGCCACCGUACCCCCUUCUAGCUCUUACGAUGUUAAUUUUGUGUUUUUUAUUUUAUUUUCGUCCUUGUCUUUGUAGUGUUUUCUGCCAAGCUGGAGUUCUGCACUCUCCCUCACUUUUGUUAAAAAAGGGAACAUAGAUUUCAGAUAUAUUAUAGAUGAUCAGGGCUACAAAUAUUUAUAAUGUAAUCUACCCAAUGGUGGUACUGUGCCUGCUCCAUUUGAAACAGAAGGGGAAGAAAACAUUUAAACGACUUGCACUGUUGACGGGUGGGCAAACCUAGUUAUAUGCAUGUUUGAGUUUAACAUUUUAUCUGAUACGGACGGAGCUAGUGUUAUUAUGUUUGCAUCACUGAAAAAAAAUUAUGCCUCCAUCCAGAAUGUGACAUGAAAAUACUGAAAAAAUCGCAAAAACGACAAAAAAAUAUAUAAUGGAACUACAAAAGGAGCCGAAAAAGCUUGGUUUGAGGCCCUCGAUGUUAGCGUUUUUCCCUGCGUUGUAAUGAUAAUAUAUUGGGCUGCGCUUUCCUCCUCCUCCCCUUCAGCUUCCUCCACGUGGACGCUGGAGUUUCCUUUCCUCCUCCUCCCCCCCUUCAGCUUCCUUUCCUCCUCCCCUCCAGCUUCCUAAGGUGGAGGCUGGAGUUUCCUUUCCCCCUUCCCCACCUUCAACUUCCUAACUUGGAUGUUGGAGUUUCCUUUCCUUCUCUUCCCCUCCAGCUUCCUAAGGUGGAGGCUAGAGUUUCCUUUCCUCCUCCUCCUCCCCCUCCCCUUCAGCUUCCUUUCCUCCUCCCCUUCAGCUCCCUUCACGUGGACGCUGGAGUUUUUUUGCAUGAUCAUAUUGUACAAAGAAAUACAAGAACCAUGAGUUGACGACUAUCAAGUGUUUGUCUGAGUGUUAGUUGGUCUUCAUCAUAGCUUUGUUAUUCUUCGAAAAACUUGGAUCUUGAAAGUAUUUAAUAAAAAUACUAUUUCAGCACUG